rnacentral:rRNA from 1 species
GAUGAACGCUGGCGGCGUGCCUAAUACAUGCAAGUCGAGCGAAUGGAUUAAGAGCUUGCUCUUAUGAAGUUAGCGGCGGACGGGUGAGUAACACGUGGGUAACCUGCCCAUAAGACUGGGAUAACUCCGGGAAACCGGGGCUAAUACCGGAUAACAUUUUGAACCGCAUGGUUCGAACUUGAAGGGCGGCUUCGGCUGUCACCUAUGGCUGGACCCGCGUCGCAUUAGCUAGUUGGUGAGGUAACGGCUCACCAAGGCAACGAUGCGUAGCCGACUUGAGAGGGUGAUCGGCCACACUGGGACUGAGACACGGCCCAGACUCCUACGGGAGGCAGCAGUAGGGAAUCUUCCGCAAUGGACGAAAGUCUGACGGAGCAACGCCGCGUGAGUGAUGAAGGCUUUCGGGUCGUAAAACUCUGUUGUUAGGGAAGAACAAGUGCUAGUUGAAUAAGCUGGCACCUUGACGGUACCUAACCAGAAGGCCACGGCUAACUACGUGCCAGCCGCCGCCGUAA